AACGUUAAGGAACCACUCGCCCUCUCAAAACUUUCUAGUUACUUGUAGUUCCUGCAAUGAAUUGCAUAUCUUAAUCAGACUUUCAAUUUUUAAUAUCAAGUAGUAGUAUCACAAAUAGAGAAAUUACAAGAUGUUAUCAUAUAAGUAUCUUGUGAAGCAACCAUUUGCUUUUUUCUCUUAUUCAUAGACCUGUUUGGGUUAAGGAUGGCUAUAUAAGCAGGAUAAUUUUUUUUAAAUGAUUCAGCUUCUUAUAGAAGAAGUACUUUAUCUGGCUCUUAUCAACUUUUAAUGAUUUGCUCUGCUUAGGAUUGACGGCAUGGGAUUUCUGCACCUUCUGCUUCUUUUCUCUCUUAAAAGAUCGACACCCUGUAGAUGAAUCUCUCACUAAAUUUACUAAUUUCUUCUGGAGUUGGUGAUCCUUCUCAAAAAUCUGUAGUAAUCUUAGCAAACCAUAGUAGUUCAUCACAGACUUCAUCAUUCUAUAAUGACUCAGAAAGGGUAGGUAGGAUUUCGGUAGCAAAUUGAGGAUAUCAUCCUUGCCUAAUUGUUCAUGUAACGGAAAGCCAAGUUUGCUAAGGUGUUCAAUCUGCUCAAUCAUAUACAAUACAUGAUCAGUGACUAAAGUUCUCUCUCAUAUACGGGCAUUGAACACUACACAGAAAGUUUUGUCUCUUCGUAUCUUUUGGGAUGUCGAAGGACUCAUUCAACAUUUGAAUGAUCUCCUGUUGCUGCGCAUCCUCAAACUUAUGGCUAAGUUUGUCAUUCAUGGCUGCCCUCAUCAUACAAUGCAUAGUCAUGUGAUCAUUAAGCCACUUUAUGUAAGUAUCUCUUACAACACAGAGAGCGUUGGCUGUAGAUUCUUCAGGUGCCUCAUCUGCAAGGACGUAUAAAAUCCUCUUGUGCUCCUAGACGAUCUACAACUCUUGAUACUGGCUAUCGAAGUUGGAUCCGAUGAGCUUGUCGCUGUUGAACAGUGUACGGAGGGAUAGUGUGUUGGUCAUAACUAACAGAAAAAAUAUAAGCCAAUUAGUAUAUAAAUCAUUUUUAAUAUUGAAGAUAUGAACUUUAGUCUAAAGGUUCUCUCACUAUUUUUACGAAUUGAUAGCUCUACCUCCAACUCGAGGAAUUAUAUUAAUUCUUUAGGGGAUACUAGAAUCCACACAGACUGUAUUCAGGUCUGAGUGUGGCUCGGUCAAUCCUAGUACAUCCAUGGAUAGGUUCAUAACCAAAUAUUUCUUCAAUUAAUUUUUAAAAAUUAGAUUUUGCCCCAGGCAUCCUUUCAGCAGACAUGUAGUGCCUCCAUUGAAAAUCCUGGUUAGGUCCAACCAUUAACAUGACACAUCAAGUGCAUCCAAUAAAUGAAUAUUCAAGUCCAAGUAUAUCUCGAUCAACCUAAGCAUUGAUAUAAAGGUAUAUCAUAAUGGUCAUAUGAUGAAUGAUAAUUACAAUACGUAAUAGACACCAGGCAUGUGGCGCCUCUAAUACCUAUUUAGAAUAUUGGACUCAUUAUUAUGUACCUUAAUAGGAGGCUAUGAUCAAGUUUUCUCAUAACUCUAUCAUUUUAUGGAUCUAAUAAUUUAAAAAAUUUAAUUUUAUUAACUUAAGAAUAAGAGAAGAAGAUGACCUGCAAGCUGCAAAUCCUCCCACUGACUUCACCAAGUCAUGUAGGAGAUUAGACACAAGCUAGUCUAAAGAUAUCUAAAUCAGUCACACUGAUUCACCUUAAUGGCAUGGGUCUGUACGAAUCGACUAGUGACUUAAUCAAAAUAUAAUCUAUCAUGUUGGCCAGAUAAGUGAGAUCAGUGGGAGGGAUGUGCCCUUAACUCACCAUAGAUGUAUCAUGGUGAAUAGCUCUCAGUUAAAAAUCACUUGAUCGAAUCUAUCAAAUUUAUCUUGAAUACUAACUAGUUAAUUAGUUUCAAUUUAAACCACCAGAAGAUUCGGGCUUAACCAUGGAGCCAUGAUCAUGGUCCAUUUAUUAGGGUCAAACAUUUAGACUUGAUCAAACUUCAACUACUGAGAUUGAUUUAGAGAAAUUCUGACCUAAUCUAAUUCAAUACUUUAUUAGAUUUAAUUAAUUUCUUUAUUUGGUCCAUAUAUGUCUCUAACCCUAGAUCUAACCCAUUAGUGUUGAGUUCCAGUGGCAAAGUGGAAGGGUUAGGUAUUUAAAAUUUUCAUUCAAAACACCCAAUGCACCGAAAGCCCUAAUGCCCAGAAACCCUUGACUAUAAUAAUCAAAGCAUAAUAAAUAUAAAUAAGGAUAAGAUGAAUACCUAUAGCGCUAAUCUCAAUUUUCACAAGGUGUCCAAGUGUCUGCCCUCCAAUGGUGAUCCACACAAAAAUUGAACCAAAGACAGCGCUCAUUCUCAUCUUGCUUCAAGAUUUCUAUCCCCUAGAACUUGACUAGCCUCAUACCAGUCAGGUUUCUUCAAGAACCUAACAUCACCCUAUUAGAACAUCCUCUGGACUGUUGAUUCUCCUUCUUUAAGACCUUUAUAACCUUUGUUAGGUUAUCCUAACCUUUGUUAGGAUAACCUUUGUUAUCCUAAAACUAAGAUAGGGUAUGUUCCUUCCUUUUGGCAUCCCUUUGGUGGCCAUAAAUUGGCUUGGGUGCUGGAUGUCUGAGGCAUUUAGAAAAAAUUUCCAAUUUCUCUCCGUAGCUCUCCCUUCUUUCUUACAACCUAUCUUAGUUUUAGGAUAAGGCUUUGAGAUUUAAGACAAAACCUUAUCUGGUCCAAACAAAGGUUGUGAGGGUCUUAAAGAAGGAGAAUCAAAAGUCUAGAGGAGGAUCUUAGAGGAUCAAAUCAGGUUCUUAAAGAAAUCUAAUCGGUACGAGGCUAGUCGAGUUCUAGAGGCUAGAACUCUUGAAGCAAGGUGAAGGAGGAAUGCUGCCUUUGGUUCAAUUUUUGUGUAGAUCACCAUUGGAGGAUGGACACUUGGAUGCCUCAUAGAAAUUGAUAUUAGCGCUAUAGGUAUUCUUCUUAUCCUAGUUUACAUUUAUUGUACUUUGAUUAUUAUAAUCUAGGAUUUCUGGGUAUUAGGGUUUUCAAUGCAUUGGGUGUUUUGAAUGAAAUUUUUAAACACCUAGUCCUUUCGCUGCACCAUCGAAGCCCAACAAAAUGACUACAUAAUCAAAAGCCUACUUGUAGAUACAAGACUCUUCUCCAUUCAUAAUGAAGCCAUACAUUUUGAUCACCUUAUCGAAAUGUAUGUUCCAACUCCUAGAUGCCUGCUUAAGUCCGUAAAUAGAUCUAUUCAGCUUGCGCACUUUUGACUCAUCUGUGGAUGUGAACCCUUCAGAUUGUAUCAUAUACACCUCUUCUUCCAGCUCCUUAUUAAGGAAAGCAGUUUUGAUAUCUAUUUGCCAGAUCUCAUAAUUUAAAUAUGUAGCAAUAGGAAACAUAAUCUAGAUGGACUUGAGCAUUGGCACAGGAGAGAACAUCUCGUCAUAGUCAAUACCAUAAUACUGAUGGUAAUCCUUGGCAACUAGAUAGGCUUUAUAGGUCUCUACCUUUUAGUCCGCUCUUCUUUUUCUCUUAAAAAUUCAUUUAUAUCCUAUAGGUUUUAUCCCAUCGGGUGGAUCAACUAGCGUCCAUACACCAUUGAUCUCUAUGGACUCUAUCUCGGACUUCAUGGCCUCAAGCCAUUUUUAGUAGUUGGGCCUUUGCAUGGCUUCUAUAUAGGUGGUCAGAUCCUCAUCAUUCUCAUCAAGUUCAAUGGGAUCACCAUUCUAGACUAGAAAAUUGUAGUAUCUAUCCGACUGACACGGUACUCUAUCGGAUCUCCUUAAUGGUACCUCUAAUGGCUUCAAAUUCGAUUCACUAAUCAAAUUUAAUUUUGUGUGUGUCGAUCCUUCCACCUUAUAAACUUCAUCAAAUUCAAUUUUACAGGCAUUAGCUUCUUCACCAAGAAACUUCUUUUUCAAAAAGAUUGCCCGGCUACCUUUUGUUCUGCAGCAAGAUAGAAGUAAUAUACUUUAAUUUUCUUUGGGUACCCUACAAAUAAAGCAUCUAUCGGACUUAGGUCCAAACUUAUCUAUCUUUAAAUGCUUGACAUAAGCUUGACACCCCCAAACCCUAAGGUGUGAGAGCAUCAGCUUACGCUCAGUCCAUAUCUCAUAUGGAGUUUUAACGAUAGACUUACUCGGCACCUUAUUUAAAAUGUUGCAGGCAGUUUCUAGAGCAUAUCCCCAAAAGAAGAUUGGUAGACUCGCAAAUUCCAUCAUGGAUGGACCAUAUCUAACAAAGUUUGAUUCUUCCUCUCAGACAACCCGUUAUAUUGUGGUGUUCCAAAAGAGAUCCAUUAGGAGGGAAUCCUAUUCUUUUCUAGAUAUGUCAGGAAUUCAUUGGUGAGGUAUUCACCUUCUCGAUCUGAUCGAAAAAUCUUAAUACUCUUUUCAGUCUGUUUCUCUACUUCAGCAUAAAAUUAUUUGAACAUUUCAAAUGAUUCUGACUUAUGUUUCAUAAGAUAGAUAUAUCCAAACCUCUAUAGGUCGUCUGUAAACGUAAUGAAGUAGUAGUAUCCUCCUCUGGCACAUAUAUUCAUAGGUCCGCAUACAUCAGUAUGUUUUAGAUCUAGGAUAUCGCUGGCUCUUUCAUCUUUUUCAUUAAAAGGUGACUUAGUCAUCUUACCAAGUAGACAGGAUUCGCAGGUUGGUAAUGAUUCACAAUCAUCUAUUUCAAGGAUACGUUCUUUGAUCAACCUGUCAAUCAUAUUCUUGUUCAUAUGACCAAGCCUACAAUGCCAAAGGUAGGAUUCACUGACGUUAUCUAAUUUAGGACAUUUGCUGGCUGUGUAUAUUACACUAACAGACUGUGAUAUUAUGUAUAUGUCAUAUUUUAAUUGUCUAUGUAUAAUUGCAGUAUCAUUCAAAAUGAUAUCACAAAAAUCAUUCUUUAUUAUAAACUUGAAACCAAGUUUGGCCAAAAGACCUAUAGAGAUGACAUUCAUUAAAAUGGAGAGACAAUAAUGACAAUCAUCUAACAUGAUACUACUGGACUCGAAGACAAGCUGCAUAAUUUUCAAGGCUAGAAUUGGAACAAGACUUCUAUCUCCAACGUUAAGGAACCACUCGCCCUCUCAAAACUUCCUAGUUACUUGUAGUUCCUGUAAUGAAUUGCAUAUCUUAAUCAAACUUUCAAUUUCUAAUAUCCAAGUAGUAGUAUCAUAAAUAAAGAAAUUAUAAGAUGUUAUCAUAUAAGUAUCUUGUGAAGCAACCAUUUGCUUUUUUCUCUUGUUCAUAGACCUGUUUGGGUUAAGGAUGGC
rnacentral:lncRNA from 1 species